rnacentral:tRNA from 1 species
GGGCCGCUAGCUCAGCCUGGCAGAGCGCCUGCAUUACACGCAGGAGGUCUGUGGUUCAAAUCCAUGGCGGCCCA